AAGGUUUCAUCGACGUAACGUGCAGUGGCCCCCCAAGUGUGAUGAAAGAGUUAUUAUUGCUAAUCGAGAAGGGGAGAUGAUGCAGAUGCCAACGUGCUACAGUAUAGUCGCGGGCUUCGUUCAAAAAUGUUCAUACGAGUACUCCAAGAAAACACGACUGAUUCUUACCUACAAUUGAACCUAUAUCCGCAGUACACGAGUACUUGAUGAGCAGUGUGAUAUAAUAGGAACUUCAGACGGCGCAGACGAUCAUCACCAGGACAUCAAUACAGCGGGCACACGCGCGAUCAAUGCGAUCAAUAUUCUAAUGUCUGAUGUAUUUAUUUAUUUUUUUUAUUAUAAUUUUUUAUCAAAAAUAAAGUCGUAGAUUUCGUUUG